GACGAACGCUGGCGGCGUGCUUAACACAUGCAAGUCGAACGGAAAGGCCCUGCUUUUGUGGGUGCUCGAGUGGCGAACGGGUGAGUAACACGUGAGUAACCUGCCCUUGACUUUGGGAUAACUUCAGGAAACCGGGGCUAAUACCGGAUAGGAGCUCCUGCUGCCUGGUGGGGGUUGGAAAGUUUCGGCGGUUGGGGAUGGGCUCGCGGCUUAUCAGCUUGUUGGUGGGGGAGUGGCUUACCAAGGCUUUGACGGGGAGCCGGCCCGAGAGGGUGACCGGCCACAUUGGGACUGAGGUACGGCCCAGACUCCUACGGGAGGCAGCAGUGGGGAAUAUUGCACAAUGGGCGGAAGCCUGAUGCAGCAACGCCGCGUGCGGGAUGACGGCCUUCGGGUUGUAAACCGCUUUCGCCUGUGACGAAGCGUGAGUGACGGUAAUGGGUAAAGAAGCACCGGCUAACUACGUG
rnacentral:rRNA from 1 species